AGUGAACGCUGGCGGUAGGCCUAACACAUGCAAGUCGAACGGCAGCACAGUAAGAGCUUGCUCUUACGGGUGGCGAGUGGCGGACGGGUGAGGAAUACAUCGAAAUCUACUUUUUCGUGGGGGAUAACGUAGGGAAACUUACGCUAAUACCGCAUACGACCUACGGGUGAAAGCAGGGGAUCUUCGGACCUUGCGCGAUUGAAUGAGCCGAUGUCGGAUUAGCUAGUUGGCGGGGUAAAGGCCCACCAAGGCGACGAUCCGUAGCUGGUCUGAGAGAAUGAUCAGCCACACUGGAACUGAGACACGGUCCAGACUCCUACGGGAGGCAGCAGUGGGGAAUAUUGGACAAUGGGCGCAAGCCUGAUCCAGCCAUACCGCGUGGGUGAAGAAGGCCUUCGGGUUGUAAAGCCCUUUUGUUGGGAAAGAAAGGCAGCAGGUUAAUACCCCGCUGUUCUGACGGUACCCAAAGAAUAAGCACCGGCUAACUUCGUG
rnacentral:rRNA from 1 species